rnacentral:rRNA from 1 species
CCUACGGGUGGCAGCAGUGAGGAAUAUUGGUCAAUGGACGAGAGUCUGAACCAGCCAAGUAGCGUGAAGGAUGACUGCCCUAUGGGUUGUAAACUUCUUUUAUAUGGGAAUAAAAUGUUCCACGUGUGGGAUUUUGUAUGUACCAUAUGAAUAAGGAUCGGCUAACUCCGUGCCAGCAGCCGCGGUAAUACGGAGGAUCCGAGCGUUAUCCGGAUUUAUUGGGUUUAACGGGAGCGUAGGUGGAUUGUUAAGUCAGUUGUGAAAGUUUGCGGCUCAACCGUAAAAUUGCAGUUGAAACUGGCAGUCUUGAGUACAGUAGAGGUGGGCGGAAUUCGUGGUGUAGCGGUGAAAUGCUUAGAUAUCACGAAGAACUCCGAUUGCGAAGGCAGUUCACUGGACUGCAACUGACACUGAGGCUCGAAAGUGUGGGUAUCAAACAGGAUUAGAGACCCCUGUAGUC